AGAUUGUUUGCUAACUGCACUACCUGAAGUUGUACAGGAAGUCUUUCCUUGAAGACUGAGAGAUGCUUCUCCAAGAUAUUCUCUGAAACAUCCUGUGCAGAGGUUCACUUUUUUCUUUUGAGUAUAUGCCUGCCUAAGAAGACAGGCACAAUCAAAAGAAAAAACAAAACAAAACAAGAAACUGAACCCUUAAGCAUUCAAAAUUCAAGCCUAUUUUAGAGUUUUUGACUGGAUUUGCUUCCGUUUUUUAAAAGUAAUUAUUCUGUCUUGAUGAGACUGGACUUUCGUAAACUGAGCAACAUGUGAUAAAACAAUAUUAUGAUUUUAUUAGAUAAAGGAUGUUAUGUCAAGAGAACUCCUAAGAUCUUGUUUGCAUCUGUGAAAUUCUGAACAAUUGAUAAGAUAAUAUUUCCAGAAGACAUCAAUGACAAUUUAGCUAAGAGAGGAAAGGCCAUGUAAGAACACAGCAAGAAAAUGGUCAAACUAGCAAGAGAGGCCUCACCAGAUACCAACACUGACAGCACUUUGAUCUUGGACUUCUAACCUCCAGAGCUGUGAGAAAAUUAAUUUCUGUUGUAUAAGCAAUCUAGUCUGUUGGAUUUUGUUAUGGCAGCAGACCAAACUACUAGAAUGUGUUUUCCAAGUUGUUGAAUUCAAGGGAAGUUUGGAGACACUAAAAACAGUGUGCAUCCCAUUAGCAUAAAAUGAAACUUUUUAAUGUAUUUUUUAUUUUUAAUUGAUAAAAAAUAAUCAUAUACUCUUGUGGGGUACACUGUUUAUUUUUAAUAUGUAAUACCUUACAGAAUGAUUAAAUCAAGCUAAUUAACAUGCCCACCACCUCACAUAGUUAUCAUAUUUUAAUGGUAUGAACAUUUGAAACUACUGCCUUAGCAAGUUUGAAAUAUAUAUUACAUUAUAAUUAACUGUAGUCAGUAUACUGUGUAAUAGAUCUCAAAAACAUAUUCUUCCUUUCUAACUGAAAUCUUGUACCCUUUGACCAACAUCUCCCCAUCUCCCUCCACCCCCAAGCUUAUGGUAGCCAAUAUUCUACUGGCUAAUUCGGUGAGUUCAACAUUAGAUUUCACAUAUAAUAAAAUCAUGCAUGUUUUUUGUGUCUAGCUUAUUUCACUCAGCAUAAUGUCCCCUAAGUUCAUGACCUAAGUUGUAAAAAAUGAUAGAAAUUCAUUCUUUUUUAGACUGAAUAGUAUUCCAUUGUAUGUAUGAAAUGAAACUUUGGCAAAUAAUUACAAUUAGGUAACUAUUCUCCAGUCCUGUGUUUGCUGUGUAUUGUGUACAAAACUUCCCAGUGGAUAAACAUUAGGUUUGCAUGAAACAUAACUCUACUUAUGUAGUUUAAUUUCUUCAGGUGAGCAUUCAGUCAAAUCAAUAUUUUUCCCAUGCACAUUUGCCAUUUUUGUUACUUUGGUUAUUUUCUUUUUUUGUUUUGUUUUAUUUUGUUUGUUUGUUUGUUUGUUUUGGUUGCCUUUUAGUUCCAUAGAUGAUGGGUGGGGGUGAGGGUUGUAGUGUCACAGCAUUUGAUUGUGGGAAAUCAAGUUUCUAACCUUGGAGGGGUUCUGGGCAACACUCAUUUGCUGAAGUGUCAUUAUCAUAUCUGAUAUUGGCCAUACAGCCUACACUGACUUUUAACAUCGGUGCCCUUCAGCCAAAAUUAUGAGAUUCUCUUUAGUUAAGACCUUUGGUUUUAUUUAGCUAAUAGCCACAUCUAACCAGGUGGAAAAAUCAAGAUGCUUCUCCAGAACAGGUGAGAUGUGGUGCGCUUGAUGAGAUUACACAGGUCUCUCUCCUGCUGCCACUUUGUGGGCCUCUCUUUCUACUGCUCUUUCACAAUGGCAGCAAAGCUCAUGUCUAACUGAAGCAAAGCUCAUGUCUAAUUGAAGAAAAUCAUUUCCUGCUACUCUGCCAUUGCUCUGUUGGCUUCAUCUGCAGUCGGCUAACACUUUUAAGAAUUUACCUGCACACAACAAUUAGGUAUGUUGGGAAAAUUUAGAUUUUGAUGUAAUAGGUCUAGGCAGGGAUGAUGUCUUCACCAAAAACAUUAAGCUACAUUCUACUGAAGAAGUUAUUUAAAAAAGAAGGGCCCUAUAUACUAUGAUCAUUAAUAAAAGCUCUUUUAGGCCAGAAACAAGGUGGUAAGACUCUGUGUUUAUUAUUGUAUAAAUUCAACGUCAGUCGUCUAAUAUCUUUAUUUUGACUUAAAGGAUUUGAAUUUAUGUGAGAAGCAAAUUUCACACUAUAAUUUAUAAAAAACAAUUUUGAAAACAAUGGUAAUGUUGAUAUAAAGUUUAUUCUUGUAGUCUUUUAAUUUCAUUAAUUUUUCUGAUAUUUACUAAUCCUGUACAAUUUUCUGUGACCUUAUAAAUUCAUUAUCAAGUGCUGAGAUCUUGGCAUCUUAGUCAACAAAACAUCUGGCAUAUGCUUGCUCCCUUCUCAACUUAUCCACUUGAUCUUCUCCCAUAAAUUUGGAGUUCAUUUGCAUAGUGCAAUUGAAU
ensembl:lncRNA novel transcript